UGACAUGAGUAGCGUUAAAGGGGGUGAAAAGCCCCCUCGCCGAAAGCGCAAGGUUUUCUACGCAACGUUCAUCGGCGUACAGUGAGUCGGCCCCUAAGGCGAGGCAGAGAUGCGUAGCUGAUGGGAAACAGGUCAAUAUUCCUGUACCGAUGUGCAGUGCGAUGUGGGGACGGAGAAGGUUAGCUCAGCCGGGUGUUGGAUGUCCCGGUUCAAGCCUGUAGUCAUGCCUGGUAGGCAAAUCCGCCGGGCUUAGAUGAGGGGUGAUAACGAGGAAGCUUGCUUCCGAAGUGAGUGAUACCCUGCUUCCAGGAAAAGCCACUAAGCUCCAGCUGUACACGACCGUACCGCAAACCGACACUGGUGCGCGAGAUGAGUAUUCUAAGGCGCUUGAGAGAACUCUGGAGAAGGAACUCGGCAGAUUGACACCGUAACUUCGGAAGAAGGUGUGCCUUUAGUAGGUGAACCAUUUACUUGGGGAGCCCAAUGAGGCCGCAGAGAAUCGGUGGCUGCGACUGUUUAUUAAAAACACAGCACUCUGCAAAGACGAAAGUCGACGUAUAGGGUGUGACGCCUGCCCGGUGCUGGAAGAUUAAAUGAUGGGGUGCAAGCUCUUGACUGAAGUCCCAGUAAACGGCGGCCGUAACAAUAACGGUCCUAAGGUAGCGAAAUUCCUUGUCGGGUAAGUUCCGACCUGCACGAAUGGCGUAACGAUGGCCACACUGUCUCCUCCAGAGACUCAGCGAAGUUGAAAUGUUUGUGAUGAUGCAAUCUCCCCGCGGAAAGACGGAAAGACCCCAUGAACCUUUACUGUAGCUUUGUAUUGGACUUUGAACAGAUCUGUGUAGGAUAGGUGGGAGGCUUUGAAGCGGUGCCGCUAGGUGUCGUGGAGCCAACGUUGAAAUACCACCCUGGUGUGUUUGAGGUUCUAACCUUGACCCGUUAUCCGGGUUGGGGACAGUGCAUGGUAGGCAGUUUGACUGGGGCGGUCUCCUCCCAAAGCGUAACGGAGGAGUUCGAAGGUACGCUAGGCACGGUCUGAAAUCGUGCUGAUAGUGCAUAGGCAUAAGCGUGCUUGACUGCGAGACUGACAAGUCGAGCAGGUACGAAAGUAGGACUAAGUGAUCCGGUGGUUCUGUAUGGAAGGGCCAUCGCUCAACGGAUAAAAGGUACUCUGGGGAUAACAGGCUGAUACCGCCCAAGAGUUCAUAUCGACGGCGGUGUUUGGCACCUCGAUGUCGGCUCAUCUCAUCCUGGGGCUGUAGCCGGUCCCAAGGGUAUGGCUGUUCGCCAUUUAAAGAGGUACGUGAGCUGGGUUUAAAACGUCGUGAGACAGUUUGGUCCCUAUCUUCCGUGGGCGCUGCAGAUUUGAGGAAGCCUGCUCCUAGUACGAGAGGACCGGAGUGGACGCACCUCUGGUGUAUCGGUUGUCACGCCAGUGGCAUUGCCGAGUAGCUAAGUGCGGAAGAGAUAACCGCUGAAAGCAUCUAAGCGGGAAACUCGUUUCAAGAUGAGAUCUGCCGGGGCCCUGAGCCCCCUAAAGAGUCGUUCGAGACCAGGACGUUGAUAGGCCGGGUGUGGAAGCGCAGUAAUGCGUUAAGCUAACCGGUACUAAUUGCUCGUGAGGCUUGACCCU
rnacentral:rRNA from 1 species